rnacentral:lncRNA from 1 species
CAGGGUCAGUGCCCGCAAGUGGGCCUGGAGUUUAUGAGUGACGCUAGCCGCUCAUCACUCACCGUGUUAAAGGCCUGGUGCGAGAGGGUGACCUGCUUGCCCUGUAGGAGUCAAGAAGGUGGCUCCAAGUCCAUUGUGAACUUGCUUCCGGGUCCUGGGUAUCCACCAGUUGGCCAUGGGAUGACCUGCGUGUUUUAUGAAGGGCGGAUGGGGAGAGAAGUUUCAUGUUAUCAGAAUAGUUUUCUGAGGCAUUAUUAUCAAUUUGUAGACUAAAAUAAUGAUCUUGGUCCAAAUGGUCCCUCACCCUGAUGAAGACUCUUGAAAUCAGAAAACUGUUUCCUUGGUGUACCGGACAAUUGCUAACAGUGAGGAGUGAGGCUGUGGAUGGGGGUGUCAGCCAUGCUUGGGUAGACAUCUUGAAGUCUACCCAAGUCAUUAGGGAUAGAAUUGAAAAAACAAGCCUUGCUCAGAGCCUUGACCUCAUCUUCCUCUCCAGGGCAGAGAGGAGAGGCUGUAUGCACUCAGAACACGGCAGGGAAGUAGCCCACUUCUCUUUUCCUCCCAAUGAAGAAAGACUCUUGGGAGCUUCAGCUUGGAAUUAAUGAUAUAGAAAACCCGUCUC